UUGUGUACUGUCAGGUGAAUAACUCCUCUGUUGUCCGUGUGGUGUGACGCAGCUUCGUCUGCUCUCUUCUCUUCUAAGAAAGAAGUAAAUAUGGAGUGCGAGCGCUUCACCGCAGGACAUGCAGAACUGGACGGCUGAGGUCAUGUGACCACAUGACACACACCAGCAUCCCGUGAGACGGCAGUGAGACGGCUGGAGAGAGACAUGAGGCCGAAGAGAAGCAGAGAGACAGAAUCAAAGCCACCGCAGCGGAUGGAUCAGAUCGCUCGCUUUACAUUCACAGACUGAAACACAAGAGCAGCAUCAGCGGCUGGAGUUUCAUCACAUUUACAUCCCGAGCUGAGCGAGGAUCAAACAGAGCAUGUUUUGAGAGAGAUGAGAGAGAUGUUUCCACAUUAAAGAGCUGAAGAAGCCCAGGUGAUGUGCUUGGAUUAAGAUGCGGUCCACAUCAACGCUUUCUUCACUCAGCAGACAACACGUGUCUCAUCUUCAAACAGGCCGACUCAACAGAGACGAGCGCUUCAAAGACACACUUCAUCAAAACCCUCUCAAAGAUCUCAUGAGCAUCUCAGAGAAGAUCCCUCGAGUGUCACAUGCUCUUCUGUUUCACACACCGAGCGACUGUUCCAGCUGGUGACUUUCAUUCAGUCGUGUUGGAUUCAAUUAAUUUACCUCCUAUAAAGAUUGAAUGUCACGGUGGAGCUCAGAUUCCCUCUUCAUCAUCACUGACAUUUCACUUUAAUGCACGGCUGACUGUCUAACAACAACAAAGGAUGCACAGUUCAG